rnacentral:rRNA from 4 species
UCCGUAGGUGAACCUGCGGAAGGAUCAUUAUCG